rnacentral:tRNA from 1 species
GGCCCCGUAGCCAAGCUGGCAAAGCCUGCGCGUUCAAAGCACAGGCAGCGUCCAUUCGUGGGUUCGAAUCCCGUCGUGGCUA